rnacentral:rRNA from 1 species
AUUGAACGCUGGCGGCAUGCUUUACACAUGCAAGUCGAGCGGCAGCGCGGGGGCAACCCUGGCGGCGAGCGGCGAACGGGUGAGUAAUGCAUCGGAACGUGUCCCGGAGUGGGGGAUAACGCCGCGAAAGCGGCGCUAAUACCGCAUAUGCUCUGAGGAGGAAAGUGGGGGCUCCGCAAGGACCUCAUGCUCUGGGAGCGGCCGAUGUCCGAUUAGCUUGUUGGUGAGGUAACGGCUUACCAAGGCGACGAUCGGUAGCUGGUCUGAGAGGAUGAUCAGCCACACUGGGACUGAGACACGGCCCAGACUCCUACGGGAGGCAGCAGUGGGGAAUUUUGGACAAUGGGGGCAACCCUGAUCCAGCCAUGCCGCGUGCGGGAAGAAGGCCUUCGGGUUGUAAACCGCUUUUGGCCGGGAAGAAAAGGUUCAGGCUAAUACCUUGGAUUUUUGACGGUACCGGCAGAAUAAGCACCGGCUAACUACGUGC